rnacentral:rRNA from 1 species
UUGAACGCUGGCGGCAGGCCUAACACAUGCAAGUCGAGCGGAUGAAGGGAGCUUGCUCCUGGAUUCAGCGGCGGACGGGUGAGUAAUGCCUAGGAAUCUGCCUGGUAGUGGGGGAUAACGUCCGGAAACGGGCGCUAAUACCGCAUACGUCCUGAGGGAGAAAGUGGGGGAUCUUCGGACCUCACGCUAUCAGAUGAGCCUAGGUCGGAUUAGCUAGUUGGUGGGGUAAAGGCCUACCAAGGCGACGAUCCGUAACUGGUCUGAGAGGAUGAUCAGUCACACUGGAACUGAGACACGGUCCAGACUCCUACGGGAGGCAGCAGUGGGGAAUAUUGGACAAAGGGCGAAAGCCUGAUCCAGCCAUGCCGCGUGUGUGAAGAAGGUCUUCGGAUUGUAAAGCACUUUAAGUUGGGAGGAAGGGCAGUAAGUUAAUACCUCGCUGUUUUGACGUUACCAACAGAAUAAGCACCGGCUAACAUCGUG